rnacentral:rRNA from 1 species
UACAGAGGGGGCAAGCGUUAUUCGGAAUUAUUGGGCGUAAAGGGCGCGUAGGCGGCUUUUCAAGUGACGGGUGAAAUCCCUCGGCUUAACCGAGGAACUGCCUGUCAGACUGGAAGGCUUGAGACCGGGAGAGGUGAGUGGAAUUCCCAGUGUAGCGGUGAAAUGCGUAGAUAUUGGGAGGAACACCAGUGGCGAAGGCG